CUCUCUUUGCCUGCUGCCAUCCAUGUAAGAUGUGACUUGCUCCUCCUUCCCUUCUGCCAUGAUUGUGAGGCUUCCACAGCCACGUGGAACUAUUUCUGCCUGGCAGAUUAACCAACGGCAAGAGGGGCUGAUCUGUCUACAUUCUGAGUACUGCCCUUGGCAAGACACCUAGAACAGACCCUGGAACCAAGUCUACCAUACUACCAUACCCCUACUCCAGCCCACCCCAGACAGUAUUCUGGGGUUCACCUGAGGUCAGCAGUGUGAAGAUGACCAGUGCCUUUUUAGCAUGACGACUUUGGACCAUGUGAUUGCCACCCACCAGUCAGAAUGGGUCUCCUUCAAUGAAGAGCCACCCUUUCCUGCCGACUUGCAGGGGGGCACGGAAGAGCACCUCCCAGGACUGUCAUCUUCCCCAGACCAGUCCGAGAGCUCCUCCGGGGAGAACCAUGUGGCGGAUGGAGGCUCUCAAGACCAUUCCCACUCGGAGCAGGAUGACUCCUCUGAAAAGAUGGGCCUCAUCUCUGAAGCAGCUUCCCCACCUGGGAGCCCUGAGCAGCCCCCACCUGACCUGGCCUCGGCCAUCAGCAACUGGGUUCAGUUUGAAGACGACACGCCCUGGGCCAGCACAUCUCCACCUCAUCAGGAAACAGCUGAGACAGGUGAGGAGUUAGGAAGGGCCUGGCUUGGGUAUGUGGUCAGCAGGAAUGCUUUUCAGUGAGAGGUCUGUAGGGCUGCCAGGAUUCCAUUUCACCUGCCCCCUAACCCUGAAGCACUGGUCGCAUAGAGGAGAGCAGACGGAGUCCUCAUCUGGUUUAAUUCUGUAGCUUGUUUUUGUUGACAUAAGCAUACAAAAGAAUGUAUGUGUUCUAGGACAUUUCUAGUCCUUUACUCUUGUCCCUGGCUGUUGACUUGUCUUUAAAAUAAUGCAUAUAUAUUUUUCUAUUAGGGAUUGGAAUUAUAUUUACUCAGCUCCUAAAUUGUAAGCACCUUACAUACAGAAAUGAAUGUUUCUGCUGGGUGCGGUGGCUCAUGCCUAUAAUUUCAUCACUUUGAGAGGCCGAGGAGGGUGGCUCACUUGAGGUCAGGAGUUUGAGACCCACCUGGCUAACAUGGAGAAACCCUGUCUACUAAAAAUACAAAAAUUAGCUGGGCGUGGUCACGCACUUCUGUAAUCCCAGCCACUCAGGAGGCUGAGGCAUGUGAAUUGCUGAACCUGGGAGUGGAGGUUGCAGUAAGCUGAGAUCGUGCCACUGCACUCCAGCCUGGGUGACAGAGUGAGACUCUGAAUCCAAAAAAUAAAAAAAGAGAAAUGAAUGUGUGUGAAAGUGUGGACCACUGACCAUGUCUAACCAAGUCACCAAUAGGAUUUGUUAAACAUGGAUAUUCUCACACUUCAGAACUCUUGAAUCCACAUCCUCAUGGGUAGGGAUGGUUGUUCAUGAGAAAUCUCUCAUUUUGUGGCAUUUCAAUGGCCAGAAGCUGCACUGGGGAGCUUAGUAAACUGUAGGAGUUGUUAGUCCCCACCCUGGUGACCUGGCUACUUCUUUGUUGUGCACUGAAGUAUGCCACAGGUGAUUGGAUAAGCUUUGGGACCGUGUUAGU
rnacentral:sRNA from 1 species